GGUUGCGAUCAUACCAGCACUAAUGCACCGGAUUCCAUUAGAACUCCGCAGUUAAGCAUGCUUGGGCGAGACUAGUACUAGGAUGGGUGACCCCCUGGGAAGUCCUCAUGUUGAAACCC
rnacentral:rRNA from 1 species